rnacentral:rRNA from 1 species
AUGACCGUGAUGCUCCAGGAUAUUGCUAUGAUCGCCGGUCUUCCUAUCGAGGGCAAUCCUCUAUGUAUGAGCACCGAUUCUGAUGGGUGGCGCACGCAGAUGCAUGCCCUUAUCGGUAUGGUUUCUCCGGAGCCUCCGGAACCAGCAGCAGAAGACAAGAAGAAGGAAAGAGUCGCAGACUAUGUUUGCUAA